rnacentral:lncRNA from 1 species
AGAAUGCCAACGAGAGCUGAGGGUGUAGAGCAAAGUAGUUCUAAGCUUCAGUUAAACUUCUUUAGGUAAGAACUUAUUUACUUUUUCUUUCUUAAUUUUCCUCCCUUAAAAGAUAAACUAAUAAACUCUUCAAUGGUCUUUUCAGUAUAGUUCUUAUGUAGUUUAACAUAGCUUAUAAAUUGAGUUUAACAAUAAACUCAAGAAGAUAAUUUUAUAAACCCUGUUUUCCAAUCUGUCAUUUACUUAAAUUAUUUUGGUUGUUUUCCCUUUUUUUCCUUCUUUCUCACCCCCUCCCUCUCCAUGAAGAUUCAGGUGCUUAACAUAUCAUUUUUUUCCCUGCUGGAAUUUUAGCAUUGAUAUGAACCAUGGACAAGUAUAUUCUGCUGCCACAAAGACUGUAAAGUGCUUCAUUUCAACAGCUGAGGCAAGCCAAGUGAUCAUUAAUAAAGCUUUUCUUGCUUCCUUCAGUGGUGUUGGUAGUAAAAUGGAAGGUGUCUUGCUGCAGGUAACUAAUGAAGAAGUGGUCAACCACAGAGUCUUCAAGAAAUAAGAAAUUCUGUACCAUCUGAAAGUAGUUCUUGUUGGUGCCUUCAUUUAAGAAGCACUUUUAAGAUAAAAGGGAAUGUUUUCUGAUUAAAAACUUCAUUUAGUACAGGUUCUUAAUAAAAUUACAAAAAUGAGUGUUGAUUGUAAAGGUUAACAUCAGAUUAGCUAAGGAUAAUGUGUUAUGUUUUAAAUUAGGAUUUGUGAGUAGACAGAUAAGCUCUAUUUUAAAUACAAGUUUUAUAAAAUAAAUACUUUUGUAACCAAA